rnacentral:misc_RNA from 1 species
UGAGAUGUGCUGGACCUGUGACUGUCGGGAGGCCCCCCGCCGUUGUGCGGCCGACUCUCGGCGCCUGUGUCCCUUCAAUCWUUGKCCAUUGUGUCUGACCUGYUUGACGGGUGCUUGCAUGCUACUACCAGUCCACUGGAAGUUGCAUUCGCUAAAUGUUGCCUUCGUCGUGCCCGUCCCGAGGAAGWGGCACGUCGAUAAKAAAAAGCCUUCACGGUGUUGCCUCGUKUWGCCAGCCASCUAGGCURGCAUCAUCAAGGCCACCUUGUGUAUGCUCUUGGUCCUGGAUGCUGCAARYRAUAAAGGUCGAAGGCGCUCUGGCGCCRCGUGCCUACCAGAGAUUGUCCGAUCGGAAAGAACGACAGUCGGCCCGACUGAUGCCUNGUGUGGAUGUCGGUGCUGGCUCGUCGAUGAGGACGUGCUACCUGGUUGAUCCUGCCAGUAGUCAUAUGCUU